ensembl:processed_transcript 2210408F21Rik RIKEN cDNA 2210408F21 gene
UGCAAGAAGGAGGCGGCGGCGGCGGCCGGAGCUGGAGGGGGAGGAGGGGAGGAACCUGAUCCUCGGUAGCGAAGGGCUGGAGGCAAACACCGAGCUCCCCCUGAGCCGCCUGGGAGCAGGGAGGGUUCUGCUACCCUGAGGGGCCCUCCCCGCGGGGCAGAGGGGUUUCCUCAGCAGUGCCCCGGAGCAGGGACCGCGCCAGCCAGCAGAAACAGCUAGUUGUUGUCUGCAGUGAAGAAUAAUUGGAAGCAUGGUGCCUGUUUCUUUUCCUGUGGGAGGAAGUCACAGCAUCUACUUCUGAAUCUGUGCUUGCCUUGAGGAAAAACGGCAUGGCACAGGAAUGUGGACGCUUUCAACCAGAGGAUUCUGUACGACGGUGUCGGCACACAAGGAGUGUUCCACUGACUGACCUCUUUUUGUUUUCAAAUGAAGAGGAGCCAAGAAUAGGACAGCUUGGGAAGCUCAUCCUCGUCUACGGCCAAACGUUGGUUUCUCAUUUCUAGAAGAUGAAAGAUGUGAUGACUCAGGAAAAACUGGAAUCUUAGUAACUGUGGUGGGCAUUGAGCCUUGCCGUCCACAAGAGAAAGCUUGCUGCUCGAGAUGUGAGUCUUCAGAUGUUCCUGCCGCCAUAUCUGACAGCUGCUGCCAAGAUUCCCUGGUGGGAUGGACUCUUAUACCUCAACAACCAGAAGCCCAAGUAAACUCUUCUAUAAAUUGAAUGACUCAUGCUUAAAAAAAAAAACAAAAAAC